rnacentral:rRNA from 16 species
AGGUUAGUUUUACCCUACUGAUGACAGUGUCGCAAUAGUAAUUCAACCUAGUACGAGAGGAACCGUUGAUUCAGAUAAUUGGUUUUUGCGGCUGUCUGACCAGGCAGUGCCGCGACGCUACCAUCUGCCGGAUAAUGGCUGAACGCCUCUAAGUCAGAAUCCAUGCCAGAACGGGGUGAUUUCCGCCUGCACCAGUCGGAUACGAAUAGGCCUUUGGCCCAGAACCUUACCAGAUCAGCGUUGGCAGCUUCAUUGAAAUUGGGGCUGCUAGCUGGUGUAUUGCAAUUGUACAGUGCGCAGGAUUGAAUCCUUUGCAGACGACUUAGUUGUCUAGCCGGGUCGUGUAAGUAGUCGAGU